rnacentral:rRNA from 1 species
UACGAAGGGGGCUAGCGUUGCUCGGAAUCACUGGGCGUAAAGCGUGCGCAGGCGGUUUUGUAAGCCAGAUGUGAAAGCCCCGGGCUUAACCUGGGAAUGGCAUUUGGGACUGCAAGGCUUGAGUGCGGCAGAGGAGACUGGAAUUCCUGGUGUAGCAGUGAAAUGCGUAGAUAUCAGGAGGAAUACCGAUGGCGAAGGCAGGUCUCUGGGCUGACACUGACGCUCAUGCACGAAAGCGUGGGGAGCAAACAGG